UACGAAGGGGGCUAGCGUUGUUCGGAUUUACUGGGCGUAAAGCGCGUGUAGGCGGGUCGUUAAGAUGGGGGUGAAAUCCCGGAGCUCAACUCCGGAACUGCCUUCAUGACUGGCGGCCUGGACCCAAGGAGAGGCAAGUGGAAUUGCGAGUGUAGAGGUGAAAUUCGUAGAUAUUCGCAGGAACACCAGUGGCGAAGGCGACUUGCUGGACUUGUGGUGACGCUGAGACGCGAAAGCGUGGGGAGCAAAC
rnacentral:rRNA from 1 species